rnacentral:tmRNA from 1 species
GGGGUUGUAAUGGUUUCGACGGGGGAUCUGAAGCAUGACAAGCGGGCGGAUGCGCCUACCAUCCUAAAAAUGGGCACUCUUUAUAAAUUAAAGAACAAUAACGAAUAUCUUCCGGUAGCCGCUUAAGGCUGCCCGUCCAGCCGGUAAGUCCACGCACCGGGUCUGGGCGUCACUAAGUGGAGAACGUGCGUGCGCUGAGCUUGGAAGCGCGCCAUGAAUAUAAAGCUACCUGCCGCGCUGCGUGACGGCUUGCGCCGCGGAUUUGGGAAAUACGGCAACGUAAAAUAACCGUCUGCGCCCGGAGAAACUCAUGUGGUGGGUUUUUCGGACGGGGGUUCAACUCCCCCCAACUCCACCA